rnacentral:lncRNA from 1 species
GCUCCUUCUCUCACAGCGUCAUGCAUUUCUCUCUUUCUUUCUCACGGGUUCUUCUCUGGUUCGCAUGAAGCCGUCUACGCCCACAGGUCCUUCACGUGGGUUCUCUCCCAUGAAAACCAAGCCACCACACAGCUUUUUGUUGAGCAUCAGGCUCUUUUAAAGGGCUUAAACAUCAAUUAGGUUAGGUUUAGAAGUCCUAAUCAAGCUCAAAACAAGUCUCGGACCGUC